GAGUUCCGCAAGGAACUCGUUCGAGGAUUGCUGCAGCAAGGCGGUCCCCGUGGCUCCUUCCGGCGGAAUCCUCCUCAGGCUCGCCACGAGGAGGAAGUUACCCAGCAGGCACACUUGCCAGUUGACACACCGCAUCGUCGGUGGCGUCGGUGUGUGCUCUGCUGGAGGAACCACCGGCGCAGGAGGGAGACCAGGGUGAUGUGCAGUUGCUGCGGCACCUCACUCUGCCCAACACCCUGUUUCCAGGCAUUCCAUGCCUGAAGGUGGUUGGGCAACAGAAGUUGUAAAUAGUGUAAAAUAUGUACAUAGUUUCUAUGUAUUUAUUUAUUGAAAAUGUAAAAACACCGUGCUUUCAGGCAUUUCAUGCCUGAAGAUCAUUUGAAAAUGAUAAACAUUUGAUAUAUUAUGUAAAUAAUGUAUAUAUUACCUAUGCAUAGACUUUCUAUGUAUUUGUAUUUGAAUUUUUGAAAAAAAUAAAAUUGACGUUUUACGCUAUGUUUCGAUCUCACGCACAGACAAACCAUUGAUUUGCACACUAAAAUGUGUGAUAUACACGUAAAUUGGACUUUAUACUAUAGUAUAAGAAAAUAAAAUCGUUCAUAGGACAUACAAUAAAGAUACAGUAAGUCUACAAACUUUUACAUGUUUCUGGAGUACAAAAACUUUAGGUUGCGGUUACUCGCAAACCAACCAUAGGAGCGCGCUGAAACUUCGCGUGCGUGAUGAGGCGGCCCGGGCGCGACGAGCGCGCGCUCCCGUCUAGACGAGAGUUGCCUGCUUCUAUUUCCCGUCUAGUUAGGUUUAAAACAUUGUUCCGACCCGGCCCUAUUGAUUAAAAAUUUUAAUUAAGGGAGGAAAAGCAUAUCGGAUACGAGUUUUAAAAUAUUAAAGGUGAGUUUCCUAGAUUGACUCGCUCUAUUGUUUGCAUAUAUUAUUUUCUCAUAAAAGAUGGCUGGUUGACACAACCGUUACGAAAGAAAGAACGGGUUAAAAAAAAAAAAAAAAAAA